rnacentral:lncRNA from 1 species
UUUCUUCGCCUCCAUGGCUAGCUUCCCUCCAAAUCCAUUUACCCUCCCGCACAAAGAUCCCUAAACCUUUCCUCACACAUGACUCCAUGAAUGUAGCCUCACGCCCCCUUACACAUGAAUGCAUACACGAUUAAUCCCAUCCAACGAUUUCCUAGUUUUACAAGUUUCGAACAAGCCAUGCAUUCCAUCCAUCACCAUGCCAUGCCAAGCACCUAAAUAAAUACACGAGUACGCAUCAUGCCAACCUUCCC